rnacentral:rRNA from 1 species
GACGAACGCUGGCGGCGUGCUUAACACAUGCAAGUCGAACGGAAAGGCCCUGCUUUUGUGGGGUGCUCGAGUGGCGAACGGGUGAGUAACACGUGAGUAACCUGCCCUUGACUUUGGGAUAACUUCAGGAAACUGGGGCUAAUACAGGAUAGGAGCUCCUGCUGCAUGGGGGGGGUUGGAAAGUUUCGGCGGUUGGGGCUGGACGCGCGGCUUGUCAGCUUGUUGGUGGGGUAGUGGCUUACCAAGGCUUUGACGGGUAGCCGGCCUGAGAGGGUGACCGGCCCCGUUGGGACUGCGAUACGGCCCAGACUCCUACGGGAGGGAGCAGUGGGGAAUAUUGCACAAUGGGCGGAAGCCUGAUGCAGCAACGCCGCGUGCGGGAUGACGGCCUUUGGGUUGUAAACCGCUUUCGCCUGUGACGAAGCGUGAGUGACGGUAACGGGUAAAGAAGCACCGGCUAACUACGUG